AUGUUUUACGUAACUAUAAUCAUACUCCAUUUAAUGACUGGCUUUAGUGCUAUAAUUAUGUUCUUAUUUACAGAAGAGUCUACAGCUGUAGAGAAGAAGAGGAAGCCUCUUACCAGACUGAAUAUUCAUUCUGCAUUCUGGAUUUUGGCAUCAAUUGCUGUGACAUACUACUUUGAUUUUUUUAAAACUGUUAAAGAAACUAUUCAAGCAGAUAGUUGGUGGUUUGCCUCUGGCAGUUGUUUAUUGGCUGCAUGUUUAUCUGUUGCCUUUUACUGCAUACUCUAUCUUGAGUGGUAUUGUGGAAUUGAGGACUACGACACACAGUAUCCAGCACUGAUACCUAUCACAACAGCUACCUUCAUUGCAGCAGCAAUUUGUUUCAACGUUGCCUUGUGGCCUGUCUGGUCCUUUAUGACACCUUUGUUGCUCUUCAUUCAGUUUAUGGGUGUUGUGAUGCUUGUGUCACUCCUGGGAUAAGUCCUUCAGGAUAUACUAUUCAGAUGAAUCCUGGGAAAUGGAAAAAGCUUAAGGAAGACGUCAAAGACUGCUCAGUAAAUAGGGUGAGGGAUGUCCCCUGUAUCACAGGCAUCUACAUCAUCCACUGAAGUGACUUCUUCAGCAGCUUCAUGUGAAGGACUCAAGUAACUGUUAUCCUGCAAAGUGGAUGUCACUUUUCUUACAUUCCAGUACUUUUAUUGUUUCUAAUACUGCUUGCUUGCUCUAACUGAUACUGUAAUUGUUAGACUACCUGAUUUAUAAAUCAAAUGGACAUAACCAUAGGUCAGCCAGUGGCUGGGGAAAAAGCAACUGACUAGUGAAUAAUUGAAAGAUAGGUUUUACCUCUCUUAGUAACAUAAAGCAUUUCAUCACUGCUUUGUAAAGCUUUUAUUCAUAUUUCAAUAUUAAGCAGAUGGGUUAUAAGUCAGUUAUGUAGCCCUAAAUCCUAUUUAGGGACUCCAGAGGUUACCUAGUCCAGCUUCCUGCUUAAAGCAGGUUGGUUGUUUUGAAAGUAAUUGAUACUUAAUUCAAGUGUUGCGAGUUUUUAAUACUACAAUUUUUCAAUUUGAACUGACAGCUAAAAAUAUUGUAUGGUAUCUGUGUUUGUACUUGUAAACUAUCAUAGAUGACACAGGAGACAUUUCUUGGAUCUAUUAAAUUUCUAAUAUUAUGUGUGUUACCAUGCAGGAAAUAUUUUAUUACCUAAUCUCUUGACUUCAGAUCUGCUAGUGUUUGAAAAAAGAUAUGGAUCAAGGUAAGGGCCUUAGAAAGCUGGUUGAUGUUUAUGUCAUUGUUAAUUUGGCAGUGCCAUCAGUGAAAUAGAUUCUAUUUGUGCUGAUACAGUUUGUCCACAGCCAAAGAUGGAUGAUCAAGAUGUGAAUAACCAGCAAUAUAAUGAACAAUACUAACACUACACAACAAAUUAAGAGCACAAAGUAAAUUCUUUUGAUGUAUGCACUACUUUUUCAGUAUUCAGGAUGUUUUUCUUCUGUAAAUUAACUUUCCGUUCUUAGCAGUGCCUGUUAAUGAAGUUGCCAUUUUUCUUCCUCAGCAAUAAAGAGGCUAGUAUUACCUUAAAUGGUGUUAGUCAUACACAGUUGGGAAAAUAAAAUAACAUUGUCUCUCUGUUCACCUUCACUAAGCUACUUAAAUAUCUGGAAACCUGGACACCAUCUAGUUGCUAGACCAUUUUAUAUAGAUCUUUGUGUUAAGUACUUUCACACCCACACCUUUGGAAAGUAGGAGAAUGUAGAAGCUGGAUAUUGAAACUUGUUAAAACUUACUCCUUAUGACUGUUGCCUGAAGUCUGGACCAUUAGAGGAGACUGUGUUCUUCAUUCUGACUUUCAAAUUCACACAUUGCUGAAUACACAAUACAUGAAAUGUUCAGUAAUAAAAAAGAUAGACAUUGUCUUAAGCUUCUGCUGUUUCAUUAAGGAAAAAAGUUGCUGUCAGUAUGCAGUACAAAGGAUCAGUCAAACCAAAAUAAAGUACAUUUAGCACUACUGUUAAGUAGCUUGUAGAGUAAGUUAACAGCUUGAUUUGUUUAAAUGUAAUACUUCAGUUUUCCAAAACUAGUUGUACUUCACAUCUUUAAAGGGCAAGUUGCUUGUCUUCAGGUCUUUGCCUUUUAACAAAUUUUAACAAUUUUACGUCUGCGUACAGAGGUACAUUUAGGUAACUUUGUUUAUUCCGCUAUUUAAAAUGCAGUGUUGCUCAGGGAUGAUAAUUACCACUGUAUUUUUAUUUGUCAGCUAUAUAAAUGCUCUAGG